rnacentral:rRNA from 1 species
UCUAGCAUGUGCGCGAGUCAUUGGGACUUUUUUUCAGGAAAGCCCAGAGGCGCAAUGAAAGUGAAGAUCGGCCUUUUCGGCUUGAUCGAGGGAGGAUGGCUCAUUGUUAUUUUUUAUAAUGACGAGCUCGCACUCCCGGGGCGUCUCGCGCUCAUUUCGAGCGGAGGCGCACCCAGAGCGUACACGCUGGGACCCGAAAGAUGGUGAACUAUGCCUGGUCAGGACGAAGUCAGGGGAAACCCUGAUGGAGGUCCGUAGCGAUUCUGACGUGCAAAUCGAUCGUCGGAACUGGGUAUAGGGGCGAAAGACUAAUCGAACCAUC